CUCUCCACCUCUCUUUCUUUGUGUAUUCUAUGUGUUCCUAUAUAUAUAUAUGUUUAUAUAACCGCCUUCGUUUUUCCUGCAAGAAUGAGGAUUUUAGGGUUUGGGACACAAGAAGAUGAAAAUAAGAAAACUGAAGAGAUUUUGUUUCCUUAUAUGUGUUUAAUAUUAGAAAUAAGGAUAUAUUCAUUUGACUUCCAACAGAUGAACAAUUUGACUUUAUUUUUUUAUAUUUUUUUGAUAUUGGAACUGCUCAUUAGCCUGUUUGAUUGGUUUUUGUAAUGCUUUUAGAAAAUAAAUUUGAUUUAUGAUUCCUAUUUGUGUUUACAUGAUACAAAUUUGGGGACUCUGUCUCUAUGCCUUCUGAUCUGCCUCUAUGGAUUACCCAAAAAUCUAUCUGCUAACAUAUACAAAAUAAUGACAAACAAAUUAGACUGUAUGCUUUAUAUAAUAAAAUAGAAUAGAUGGGUCAUCAUUUUAAUUCAUCAAAAAAAAAAAAAAAAAACCCAUUGUCAGCAGUCACCUUUCCUCCCAAAUUAAUCAACACUUGAUUGAUUUCAAGACUACUGAGUCCUUUUCAAUUAACUUGAAUUCUGUUGUUUCAAUCUGAAGUAUCAAUUUUUUUUGUUUUUAAGAAUGAUGAAUAAUGUUCCAAAAUUCUGAUAUAAUUCUUUUUAAUUUCUAGAGGCAUUUCAUGUGGUGUGGUGGAAGUUGAUAGUCCUAUUUUUCAUGGUAUCUGUCACAGUUUAAGGAUGUGAUACAAACUGCUGCUCUGUUUUCAUGAUUGUGCAGAGGCUUGACUUUGAUGAAUUUUUAGAACUAGUUCUCUUUUCUGAAGUUUUUUGUUUUGUUUUUUUAAUUGGAAUGAACUCUGUUCUGAAGUUUAGAACAAAAGAGUUUAACAUUAUUGGUUAAUGCUUCCGCUGCGCCACUUUGAUUGUUGCUAUAUUAUACCUUAAAAACUCUCUGUAUACAAACAAAUAAUCGAAACAGUGAGCAGAUAGAUAUAAAGUUUGUUGAUAAAGUUGGUUGCUCUGAUCUGAAACCCAACAAAAUGGCCUCAAUCCCCUGUAUCUCCAACCAAUCUUCGCUUCACAACCCCACAAUUCUUCAUCUUCUUCAAUAUAUUCUUGGAUAUGUUUAACCUAUUUUGUGGCCUGACUGUUUUUAAUUAUAUCACUCACUUUUAUGAUUCUUUUAAAUGAAAUUUAUAGAUGAAGUUUUUAAACUUCAAUGCUUGUGUUUGGUUGUUUGGACAAUUCUUUGUUGCAUUUUGGAUUAUUUUAAUUUAUGCUGCUACUUUUCUUUAGUAACAUUUACUUUUCUUAUGGAACUGGAACUUGGCGUCAAUGCCCUUCAUAUUAAGCUCCGUGCGACUGGUGGAAACAAGACAAAAACACCUGAUCCAGGAUUGUGUUCCAGGUGAUGGAAUUGUUAGAGAUGGUAGAAGUGCAGUUGACGAGUCAAGUUUCACGGGGGAGCCUCUGCCUGUGACCAAACUACCUGGGGUAAUAAUAUGAUCCUCUCAUACUUUUAGUUUAGUUCACUGCUUUAUUUAAUCUAGUAAAAAACAAGGAAAUUGUUUCUGAUUGCAUGCUGUUUUUAAUAAGUAAAAGACAUUAUAAAUAAAUAAAGCAACAGGGAGGUGCCACCCAUGUACAUGAGAUGAGGGAAUAAAAACAACUGAACAAACAAUCUCUACUCAAAAGAUUCUCAAAAACAAAGAAUCGGUUCAAGGAUGGAUCAAUUCCACCUGACCAUAAAAAUAUAUAUAUAAAAAUGAUAAGGUUUUGCUUGUCAAUUUAAAAAAAGGUUCUUUCACCCCUCAGAAGGUCCUUUCAAGAGGUGGAAGAACCUGAUUGCAUGGUUAUACUUCUUUAAAAUGAACCUUUUUUGGGGGCCAAGGGAGGGACGGGAGCUGCAUUGCACUUCAUUAAUUUCAAGAUUUUUCCCCACCAUCUUAUCAUACUAUAGUAGAUUGCAUGUCUAUACUAGGUUGAAGUUGCAGCUGGAACUAUAAACCCUUUUUUUUCAUUCAGUUUUAUCUUCCAAAAACAAAACAAAACAAAAAAAAGAUUGCGAGUUUGAUUUUUGAUUGAUUUGUUGUUCGAGUUAAAUAUUGUACUGGAAAUCAUGCAAUACGAUAACUUGAGUUUGACUUUGACAAAGUGCACCAACAUGUUGAUAACAAGUCUGUGGAUUCAAUUGUGAAAGGAAAUCCUCCUGUAACUGAAGAUUGUUCCUCUACAACAUUAAACCGUAAGUGCAUUCUUGAUGUUAGUUUUGUUGGUCGGAAUAGCUUCUUUAUGCAUUUCCUCUGAUGUCAUGACUUUGAUUUCUGCUCUGUGUUGAUUUGCACGAGAACUAAAGUAGGAAAUUAUUGUCUGAUUUGUCCAACCAAAGUUAGCAAUUUUAUUAGUAAGUUUGCAAUUUUAUUACUAAGUUUGUUUGAUGAUAUCUUCUAAUUGCUGAGUCAAAAAAAGAAUUACUGUUGUAACAUUUGGGUGUCAGUAAGUUGUCUUGAUUUUAUAUUCUUAAUCAUGUCUGAUCAUAAAUAUGUUUGCACAUAAACACAUGGACACAUGUUGAAGUUCACUUAAUUCAGUGUGAGCAGGGUUUUUUUAAAGGGCAAAGUUUCAUCUUGUACCCCCAAACAGAACCACAAGAUGAUUUUUUAUGGUGCUCAUGGAGAAUUUUGAUGAAAUUUGAAUGGUAAACAAUUAUUUUCAACUUUGUGAUAAAAAAAAUAACUCAUCAUUUUAUGUCUUAUUGCCUCGUACUGGACUAAGAAAGAGAUGUAACAAAGUGGCCUUAGUAAAUUGAUCUUAAUCUAAGGUUCAAUUUUAGAUCUAUGUAUGUCACAUUCCUAUUAUCAACCUUGACCAAAUAAUCAUUAAUGUUAUAGGUCUUAUUUAUUUAUUUAUUGAUCAGAAAUGUUAUAGGUCUUAUGAUGCUAAUAAAAUUGUUCAAGGCUGUGUUUGGAUUGUUGAUUUGGGUAGGCAUUUGGAAAAGGAAAGGGAAAGGGAAAGGGAAAAUGUGUGAAAUGUAGCUAUAUUUCACUCAAAUUUCACCUAGAUUUUCCCUUUUCUUUUUCAAAUCCCUACCCAAAUUCAUGAUCCAAACAUAGCCUUAGUGUUCUCCAUUUUAGUCUACUUUGAUUUUUGUUAAGUAGGCAUUUCAUCAAUAUAUAUGGGAUUUUGUUUACCAGUGCCUAAGAGAAAUUUGUUGAGAAGCUUGAAAUGGUUGUAGGUUCUUUACUCCAAAUCUAGAUAGAGCCUGGAGCUGGUUGUUCCCUUUUAAAAACCUUCUUUUUGUGCUUCCCUCCCUGCUACCUACAUAAGAAUCCAGAUGUGACUUCUUGGUAUAGGGGAAGCUCCUCUGCCCUUUCCUCCUUGCACUCAACUGAUUUGUCAUAUAGGCUGGGUGUACAGGGGGUUAUAAUGGGGGUCACGGGGCCUUCCAAUUUUUUGAGAGCAAAACCAUGUAGAGUUGAGAUACAAUUUUAAUUUUUAGGAGGACAUGAUUGAUUUGUAAACACUUUCAUAGGCAAGUUUAUUGGUAACUGUUUGUGAAAAAAAAAAAAAAAAUACACUAAUGUAUACCAUCUCAGCAAUUUUGACAUUUUGCUUAAUAGUAUAAUAGCUUCAAUAAAGCAGUUAUAUUUUCAUACAUAGUAUUGCUUAUUAGGGGAUGAUUUAUAACUUUAUUGUGAAGUAGAUUGUUAAAUUGAUUAUUAGGGGAUGAUUUCAAUGCUUGAUUUUGGUUAUUGAUUUGAUAGAACCUUUUGUAGGUCUCAUGAGGAAAUGUCUCCGAAGAUGAUAAUGGCAGCUUUCUGGCCUUUGAGUUCUACUUGGCUUCUGAAAAAUCUUGGCUUCUAAAAAAAUACAUAAGUUUAUUAGUAGCAUAAUCACUAGACAAAUUUUUAGAGAUUAUUUGAGAUUUUUUCCUCUCUUUUUUUCUUUUAAAUAUUUUUUCUUCUA